rnacentral:lncRNA from 1 species
UGGGGACCCCCCGGCCGGGGAGAUGGGGAGGGGGCAGCCCCCACCGGUGUGGGGCAGGCAGCGGGCAGAGCUGCUGGGGGGGGAUGUGGGGGGUCCCCGAGCAGAGGGAACGGGCUGGGGAGGUGCCACUGAGGGUGGGGGGCUCUGGGGUGCCGGGGGGGCCGCACUCACCCUGGCAGCCCUCGCUGCUGCACCGCAGGGUCCCGUUCUGGCACACGCUGGGAGGAGGAGAGUGGCUGAGCACCCACCGCCCCGGCGCUGACCCCCCCACCCCUGACCCCCCCAUGUGUGGGGCUGCCCCCCGGCCCCGCUCACCACUCCUUGCAGCCCAGGAGGACGGUGUCACCGGCAGCCAGGGUCGGGGGGCCACCCUGCCCACCGGGGUGCAGGCAGCGGCACUGCGCGGGGGGCACGCAGCCCCCGGCCUGCUCCAGCAGCCCCUGCCGGGUACAGGGGGCCAUGGAGGUGGGGGGUGGGGGUGCCAGACCCCCUCCCCACAGACCCCCCCCCUCCUGCCCCUUCAGUGGCAGCUGGACAUCGGUACCUGGCUCUUGCCAUGGCCCCUGACCCUGGUGGGGUUAUCCCCCAACCCAUCGCAUCCCAUCCCAUUCCAUCCCAUCCCAUCCCAUCCCAUCCCAUCCCAUCCCAUCCCAUCGCAUCCCAUCCCAUCGCAUCCCAUCCCAUCCCGUCCCAUCCCAUCCCAUCCCAUCCCAUCCCAACCCAUCCCAACCCAACCCAUCCCCUCCCAUCCCCUCCCAUCCCAUCGCCAUCCCCAUUCACAUCCCAUCCCAACCCAUCCCCAGGGACCCCUCCCACCUCCAGACCCCCUUCUUUUGUGCUGUAGCCCCCUGCCCACCCCUGCCCACUCUUGCCUGCGGGCAGGCGCAGCCGGGCAGGCAUGGGGGCGGCUGCGGGCAGAGGUCGGGGUGCCGCAGGCUGGAGCAGAACUGGGUGCAGGGGGGGCCGCAGGGCUGGUACUGGAAGGGGGGGGCACAGCUGGCCUC